rnacentral:rRNA from 1 species
CAACCGCGAACUUCUAAACCUUUGACGAUUGACUCAUGUUGCCUCGGCGGGUCCUCCCGCCAGAGGAUACAUCAAAACUCCUGUUUUAACGGUGUUGUCUGAGCUACAAGCAACAAUCAAAACUUUCAACAACGGAUCUCUUGGUUCUGGCAUCAUGAAAACGCAGCGAAAUGCGAUAAGUAGUGUGAAUUGCAGAAUUCAGUGAAUCAUCGAAUCUUUGAACGCACAUUGCGCCCCUUGGUAUCCCGAGGGGCAUGCCUGUUCGAGCGUCAUUUCACCACUCAAGCCUGGCUUGGUGUUGGGCGACGUCCCCAUUUAGGACGCGCCUCAAAACGCUCGGCGGCGUGGCACCGGCUUUAAGCGUAGCAAAUCUUUCGCUUUGAAAGUCGGGGCCCCGUCUGCCGGAAGACCUACUCACAAGGUUGACCUCGGAUCAGGUAGGGAUACCCGCUGAACUUAAGCAUAUCAAUAAGCGGAGGAAAAGAAACCAACAGGGAUUGCCCCAGAACGGCGAGAUCAUCGAAUGUGGACCUGGAAUCCCGGGGAAGGUACCCUCGCACAUGUGCAAAUCUCUGUCUGACAGGCCUCUGGCCUAUUCUUGCAAAAACCAAGAUCUCUUGGUUCUCCAUCGAUAAGAACGCCGAAUUGCGAUAUAUGUGAAUUGCAAUUCUGAAUCAUCGAUCUUUGAACGCAAUUGCCCCUGCAUUCCGGGGGCAUGGCAGCAUCGCCAUGGGGUGAGAGUGGCGUGCCCGGCUCACAACAAUAAGUCAUGCAAAUAUCUUUGUCCUGAGAA